rnacentral:lncRNA from 1 species
CCCUGAUAGAGUAAUCCAAACCUUCAUUCCUGAAGUGGCUGGGCCAUUUGUAGUCCUGGAUUGGGUUGUUAUAAUUUCCCAUUGACCUUAAUCACAGGGCAUGGUAAUAUUAAGAGACACCAUAAUGGAUCUGCUGUAUUACAUGCAUGCUCUUCCUUACCUCUACUAUGGAGCAGUAGACUGAUUUCAUCUUGAUAGACCCCAGCCAAUAAUGUACCUCCCUUCUUAUUCUGUUGACUUAAAGAUAGCAGGAACCCAAAGUGUCCAGGUGGCAAUCUUAACUUCUAGUUCAAAGGAAUCAUUGAUGUUUCCUCUGGUGCCAGCAUUCCUCCCUCUGGAACUAAGAUCUCUAGGCCAGCAGAACAUAAUGUCACGGGAACAGGAAGCAAAAAUUUUGCUAAUGGAUCACUAGGAGUGAUGGUGAGUGGUGCCACUUCUACUUCCACCCCUUGAUCCUGGACCUACGAAUCCUGGCUAUAGGCAAAACAGUAUCAUAUAUGAGAUGCUGAUUCAGAGCAUACACGGCCUUCUGGAGAACUUUGCCCCAGCCCUGCAAAGUAUUGUCACCUAGUUGGCUUUGUAAUUGUGACUUCAAAAGGUCAUUCCACCAUUCUAUCAAUCCAGCUGCUUCAGGAUGAUGGGGAACAUGGUAUAAACAAUGAAUUCCAUGAGCAUGAACCCACUGUCUCACUUAUUUAGCCAUAAAGUGAGUGCUUUGGUGAGAGACAAUGCUGUGUGGAAUACCAUAAUGGUGGAUAAGGCAUUCUAUGAGUCCAUAGAUGAUAGUCUUGGCAGAAGCAUUGCGUGCAGGAUAGGCAAACCCAUAUCCGGCAUAAGUGUCCAUUCAAGUGAGAACAAACAUCUGCCCUUUCCAUGAUGGAAGAGGUCCAUUAAAAUCAAACUGCCACCAGGUAGGUGGGCUGAUCACCCCGAGGAAUGGUGCCACAUCGAGGGCUCAGAGCUAGUCUCUGCUGCUGGCAAAUCGGGUACCCAGCAGUGGCUGUAGCCAGGUCAGCCUUGGUGAGUGGAAGUCCAUGUUGCUGAGCCCAUGCAUAAGCUCCAUCCCUGCCACCAUGGCCACAUUGUCCAUGGACCCAUUGGGCAAUGACAGGGGUGGCUGAGGAAAGAGGCUGGGUGGUGUCCAUAGACAAGAUCAUCAUAUCCACUUCAUUAUUAAAGUCCUCUUCUGCUGAGGUCACCCAUUGGUGAGCACUCACUUGGGAUAAAAAUAUCUUCACAGUUUUUAACCACUCAGAGGGGUCCAUCCACAUACUUCUUCCUCAAAUUUCUUUGUCACCAAUUUUCCAAUCAUGCUUCUUCCAAGUCCUUGACCAUCCAGCCAAACCAUUAGCUACAGCCUAUGAAUCAGUAUAUAAUUGCACAUCUGGCCAGUUUUCCUUCCAUGCAAAGUGCACAACCAGAUGCACAGUUCGAAGUUCUGCCCGCUGGAAAGAUCUCCCUUCUCUGCCGUCCUUCAGGGAUGUCCUAGAACUUGGGCUGCAGUGCUGCAGCUGUCCACUUUUAAGUGGUGCCUGCAUAUCAUGCAGAACCAUCUGUGAACCAGGCCUAAGUCUUCUCUUCCUUUGUCAACUGAUCAUAGGGAACUCCCCAUGAGGCCAUCGGUGCAG